rnacentral:rRNA from 1 species
AGACUGGGAUAACAGUUAGAAACGACUGCUAAUACCGGAUGAUUCAUAGUUAGAUAACUAAUUAUGCUAAAAGGAGCAUUUGCUUCACUUUGAGAUGGGCUUGCGUUGUAUUAGUUAGUUGGUGGGGUAAUGGCCUACCAAGACAACGAUGCAUAUCCGAGCUGAGAGGCUGAUCGGACACACUGGGACUGAGACACGGCCCAGACUCCUACGGGAGACAGCAGUUAGGAAUAUUCGUCAAUGGGGGAAACCCUGAACGAGCAAUGCCGCGUGAGUGAUUAAGGUCUUAUAGAUUGUAAAACUCUGUUGUAAAGAAAGAAACCUUAAGAUAGGAAAUGAUCUUAAGCUGACGGUACUUUACCAGAAAGCCCCGGCUAACUACGUGCCAGCAGCAGC